rnacentral:piRNA from 1 species
ACCUGUACUUUUCAAGAUUUGUCAAAAAG